rnacentral:rRNA from 1 species
GACAGAGGUGCCAAGCGUUAGGCGGAAUCACUGGGCUUAAAGCGUGUGUAGGCGGGCGGGCAAGUACCUUGUGAAAUCCCACGGCUCAACCGUGGAACGGCUGGGUAUACUGCCUGUCUUGAGCCAGCUAGGGGCGACCGGAACAGAGGGUGGGAGCGGUGAAAUGCGUAGAUAUCGUCUGGAACGCCAAAGGUGAAAACAGGUCGCUGGGGCUGAGCUGACGCUGAGACACGAAAGCCAGGGAGCGGAACGGG